rnacentral:rRNA from 1 species
GCCGUUGGCACACCGUUUCUUGCGCCAUGCCGCGUGUGUGAAGAAGGCCUUCGGGUUGUAAAGCACUUUCAGCGGGGAGGAAAGGGCCGUAGCUAAUAUCUGCUGGCUGUGACGUUACCCGCAGAAGAAGCACCGGCUAACUCCGUGCCAGCAGCCGCGGUAAUAAAA